rnacentral:rRNA from 1 species
CCUACGGGUGGCAGCAGUGGGGAAUAUUGCGCAAUGGGCGAAAGCCUGACGCAGCGACGCCGCGUGAGGGAUGAAGGUCUUCGGAUCGUAAACCUCUGUCAGCAGGGAAGAACGGUCACUGUGCUAAUCAGCAGUGAAUUGACGGUACCUGCAAAGGAAGCACCGGCUAACCCCGUGCCAGCAGCCGCGGUAAUACGGAGGGUUCGAGCGUUUAGCGGAAUUACUGGGCGUAAGGCGCUCGUAGGCGGUAUGUCAAGUCAAGGGGGAAAUCCCCGCGCUCAACGUGGGAACUGCCAUUUAAACUGGCAAACUCGAGAGUGUGAGAGGUUAGUGGAAUUCCAGGUGUAGGAGUGAAAUCCGUAGAUAUCUGGAGGAACAUCAGUGGCGAAGGCGAGUAUCUGGCACAUAACUGACGCUGAGGAACGAAAGCGUAGGUAGCAAACAGGAUUAGAUACCCCUGUAGUC